GACGAAACCCAACCGAGCUCAUUACGGCGGGCAGACAGGUGUGAGCAAUGCAGCUUUAAAUCAGGGGACAUUAAAUAAGCAGGCUGCUGCUGCUGCACACCCAGGGCUGGUUGUAUAACGGGGCUUCACCUCAGCUGAACUUGACGCAUCUGGUUCAUCGGCGGCGAAGGACGCGCGGCGCGGCGCAGUCUGCAGGCUGUGUGUCCCCACUGAACCGAGCUGGAUGGCUGCGGAGAGACACGCACACAGGGGGGGCGAAACACAACUCUGUCGUUGCCCGGUAGGCGCUCGCGGAGACUGUCUCACCCCAGCACAUUCAACAUGACGACUUUUUCUACUUCCCAGCCUACAAAUAUCGCUUUGUGCUUUUUUAUUUCCUGCUAUUUUGUGGCUCAGGGACAUAACAGAAGACGAGGUAGCGUUAAGAAGAUAUAAAGCCCGCGGACUUGGAGUUGGACACCCCGGAGGGAGAGAUCAUCCAACUUGAACUCGGAGACCUGUCGGGCAAGUGAGGACACAAGUGAAACCAGAAGACCUCAGAUACUGCAAUGCAGAGAGGAUAUGUGGACAUACUGCGUGCAGCUACAGAGGGAUCCGGCACAAUGAACAGCGGAGAUUUCGGCGCUUUACCCUGGAUAGCCGAUGACCGUGGUGUGUGUGCCAGUUGCCUACAAAGUCUCAGUGGCCUCAUUAUUUGGACAUGACUUUAUUUUCCUGGGCAGACCUCAAUGUCAAGGCCGAGGAAACCUGAGAGGAGGUGAAGCCGACAGACCGCACAGCUACGUGAGGCUACAGAGAGGAGGUGACCUGUCAGGCAGAGGUGACAUCCAGGAAGUAUUCUGACAGCACUCUUUGAUUUGCAGCAAUUAAGACACAAGCUCAGUUUAUGACACAGGGUUAGAUGCACAGCUCACUCUGCUCUGCUCUCACAUCAGGUGGAUUCCCCUGUAAAUACACAAAGCUGUAAAACUUUAAAAGGGUUGUAAAACAAACUCAUUAUUAUCAUAAAUACAAUGAACCUUAUGUUUCAAAGUCAAAUGAAUUUGAAUGGACGUCAUUUAGAAAGAUUAGAUUAGAUCGUUCAAUGAAAAAAAAAAUCAAUUUUUUUUUAUUUAUUUCUUUUUAAAUGUAGCAGCAAUUUAAUUUAUCCUCAUGUUCAUGCCAGCAGGGACACAUCACGUCCUGACAAAAUUAUUGUGAUACAGAUGUGUGUUAAUGAAGCCAUAUUGUGUUUAGCUAAAAAGAGAAUUGGGUGAUUCAGGGGUUGUUGUUGUUGUUUUUUUUGUUUUUUGUUUUUUUUAGGAAUAUAUAUAUGAUUUACUUCUGUGAAUCUAAACCCCAUAAAUAACAAUACAAUACAUAAACCCACACAUGUAUGACUGGAUAGAUAAAUUAGAAUAUUCUGUAGAAUAAAGCUAACAUUGGCCGAGGAAGUAAUGAUAGUAAGACAAGAGGGUAGUGUGAAUAAUAAACCUGCAAUAAAAAAACCUCUAUGAAAUUAAUAAAUGGAACAAAAACAAAUAGGUGACUACGAUUUUAAUUUUAAAAAAUUACAUUAUUUUUCAGUUUCUUCAGGUACUUUGAAAGUUAUUAAAACUCUCCUUAUACCCAUGCAUAUUUAAAAUAAAAUAUAAUAUAAAUAUGAUAAUAUAAUAUAUUACAAAACAUAUACAGUGAUAAUACAUGUGUAUGUAGGUUUAUUGUUGGCAACUUCAUCUCAACUCAAAGGCCCACUUUGUAGCUUUUUCUGAGCUUUUAGCUGCAGCUCAAAAAGAGAGUAGGUUUUUUUUUUUUUAUUCCAUUAACUCAGUGGUUCUCAAACAUUUUCUGUCAGGCCCCCAUCAGAAGCCAAAAAAAAAAAUGCAUGCCCACUCACCCCAUAAUUUUUUGUCAGUCAUUAACAAUAAUUGGGGGAACAACUAAUAAAAAGGUCUAUGUAGAAUUUUAGUGACAUAAAUCUCAGCAUGAUAGCACCAGCAAAG